rnacentral:rRNA from 1 species
CUCUUCGGGGAUGAUUAAACCGGCGCACGGGUGAGUAACACGUGAGUGACCUGCCUUUUAGACUGGAACAACUUACCGAAAGGUGAGCUAAUGCCGGAUGAGUUAUAUAAGUGCAUGUUUAUAUAGGAAAAGUUGGGGAGACCUGACGCUGAAAGAUGGACUCGCGUCCCAUUAGCUAGUUGGUAGGGUAAUGGCCUACCAAGGCGACGAUGGGUAGCCGGCCUGAGAGGGUGGCCGGCCACACUGGGACUGAGACACGGCCCAGACUCCUACGGGAGGCAGCAGUGGGGAAUUUUGCGCAAUGCUCGUAAGAGUGACGCAGCGACGCCGCGUGAAUGACGAAGGCCUUCGGGUCGUAAAGUUCUUUCGACAGGGAAGAAAAUGCCUAUAAGUAACUGUGUAUGUAUUGACGGUACCUGUAUAAGCAGCCCCGGCUAACUCCGUGCCAGCAGCCGCGGUAAUACGGAGGGGGCGAGCGUUGUUCGGAGUGACUGGGCGUAAAGAGCACGUAGGCGGUGUUGUAAGUCAUUAGUCAAAGACUAGAGCUCAACUUUAGUAAGGCUAGUGAUACUAUAAUACUAGAGUAUCAGAGAGGAUUGCAGAAUUCCUGGUGUAGCGGUGAAAUGCGUAGAUAUCAGGAGGAAUACCGUUAGCGAAGGCGGCAAUCUGGCUGGAAACUGACGCUGAGGUGCGAAAGCGUGGGUAGCAAACAGGAUUAGAUACCCUGGUAGUCCACGCUGUAAACGAUGGAUGCUAGGUGUUGGGCUUUUAAGUUCAGUGCCGCAGCAAACGCGAUA